rnacentral:tRNA from 1 species
GCGGGCCUGGCCGAUCGGCUUAGGCACCAGCCUUCCAAGCUGAGUAGAGGGGUUCAAUUCCCCUGGCCCGCUCCA